GACGAACGCUGGCGGCGUGCUUAACACAUGCAAGUCGAACGGAAAGACCCUGCUCUUGCGGGGUUCUCGAUUGGCGAACGGGUGAGUAACACGUGAGUAACCUGCCCUUGACUUUGGGAUAACUUCAGGAAACUGGGGCUAAUACCGGAUAGGAGCUCCUGCUGCAUGGUGGGGGUUGGAAAGAUUCGGCGGUUGGGGCUGGACUAGAGGCUUAUCCGCUUGUUUGUGGGGUAGUGGAUUACCAAGGCUUAGACGGGUAGGCGGCCUGAGAGCGUGGCCGGGCUCCUUGGUCCUGCGAUACGCCCCAGUCGGGUACCGGACGCAGUGGUCGGGAGCAUGGCACAACGGCGGGGAGCGUGAUAUGAAAAUCUUGGGUGCGUGAAGACCGCUUUUGGGUUGAGAACCGCUGUGGCCUUUGACGAAGCGUGAUUGACGGUAACGGGUCAAGAAGCACCGGCUAACUACGUG
rnacentral:rRNA from 1 species